rnacentral:rRNA from 2 species
UGCAGUCGAGCGGACUGAUGGGGAGCUUGCUCCCCUGACGUCAGCGGCGGACGGGUGAGUAACACGUGGGCAACCUGCCUCACAGAUUGGGAUAACUCCGGGAAACCGGGGCUAAUACCGAAUAAUCAAAGGAACCGCAUGGUUCCCUUGUAAAAGUUGGGUUUUACCUAACACUGUGAGAUGGGCCCGCGGCGCAUUAGCUAGUUGGUGAGGUAGUGGCUCACCAAGGCGACGAUGCGUAGCCGACCUGAGAGGGUGAUCGGCCACACUGGGACUGAGACACGGCCCAGACUCCUACGGGAGGCAGCAGUAGGGAAUCAUCCGCAAUGGACGAAAGUCUGACGGUGCAACGCCGCGUGAGUGAUGACGGUCUUCGGAUUGUAAAGCUCUGUUGUUAGGGAAGAACAAGUGCCGUUCAAAUAGGGCGGCACCUUGACGGUACCUAACCAGAAAGCCCCGGCUAACUACGUGCCAGCAGCCGCGGUAAUACGUAGGGGGCAAGCGUUGUCCGGAAUUAUUGGGCGUAAAGCGCGCGCAGGCGGUUCCUUAAGUCUGAUGUGAAAGCCCACGGCUCAACCGUGGAGGGUCAUUGGAAACUGGGGAACUUGAGUGUAGGAGAGGAAAGUGGAAUUCCAAGUGUAGCGGUGAAAUGCGUAGAUAUUUGGAGGAACACCAGUGGCGAAGGCGACUUUCUGGCCUACAACUGACGCUGAGGCGCGAAAGCGUGGGGAGCAAACAGGAUUAGAUACCCUGGUAGUCCACGCCGUAAACGAUGAGUGCUAGGUGUUAGGGGUUUCGAUACCCUUAGUGCCGAAGUUAACACAUUAAGCACUCCGCCUGGGGAGUACGGUCGCAAGACUGAAACUCAAAGGAAUUGACGGGGGCCCGCACAAGCAGUGGAGCAUGUGGUUUAAUUCGAAGCAACGCGAAGAACCUUACCAGGUCUUGACAUCCUCUGACAACCCUAGAGAUAGGGCGUUCCCCUUCGGGGGACAGAGUGACAGGUGGUGCAUGGUUGUCGUCAGCUCGUGUCGUGAGAUGUUGGGUUAAGUCCCGCAACGAGCGCAACCCUUGACCUUAGUUGCCAGCAUUUAGUUGGGCAC